AACGUAGGAGACAAGCGUUAUCCGGAUUUACUGGGCGUAAAGGGCGUGUAGGUGGUAGUGUAAGUCUGGCGUGAAAUUUUUCGGCUUAACCGGGAAAGGUCGUCGGAUACUGCACAACUAGAGUACGGUAGAGGCGUGUGGAAUUCCGGGUGUAGCGGUGAAAUGCGCAGAUAUCGGGAAGAACACCCGUGGCGAAGGCGGUUCUCUGGGCCGGUACUGACGCUGAGACGCGAAAGCGUGGGGAGCGAACAGG
rnacentral:rRNA from 1 species